AGAACAAUCUAACGCUUUCUCGCUCCUCCUCCUCUUCGCGUCUCUCCCUGCAAGCAAAUAUGAGUAGCAGCCGAUGGAACCGCACGAUCUACGUCGGGAACUUGCCUGGCGAUAUUCGCAUGCGAGAGGUUGAAGAUCUCUUCUACAAGUAUGGACCCAUUGUGGACAUUGAUCUGAAGAUUCCACCGAGACCUCCUGGUUAUGCAUUCGUCGAGUUUGAAGAUCCUCGUGAUGCAGAUGAUGCUAUUUAUGGGCGGGAUGGGUAUGAUUUUGAUGGGUGUCGACUACGGGUUGAGAUUGCACAUGGUGGUCGUAGAGGUUCAUCCUCGGUGGAUAGGUACAGCAGUGGGAGCCGUGCACCUUCGAGGCGGUCCGACUAUCGUGUGCUGGUGACGGGAUUACCGCCAUCUGCUUCCUGGCAAGACCUUAAGGAUCACAUGCGUAAAGCUGGAGAUGUCUGCUUUUCUGAAGUUUUUCGUGACCGUGGAGGCAUGUCAGGGGUUGUGGAGUAUAGCAACUAUGAUGAUAUGAAAUACGCGAUAAGGAAGCUUGAUGACUCUAAGUUUCGAAAUGCCUUCUCUAGAUCUUAUAUACGGGUGAGAGAAUAUGAGUCGAGGAGUGUGAGUCGCAGCCCAUACUAUUCUAGAAGCAGGAGUCGAAGCUAUAGUUAUAGUAGCAGAAGUUUGUCGCGUUCUCCAACGCCCCGUCCUCGUUCUCCAACUCCGUAUAGCUCGAUCUCAAGAUCUGGCUCACUGCGGCGAGCUGGGGACUGGAUCUUAGGGACUUGAUGGGUUAUCUAGAUGGAUUCUAGGACUCACUGCUCUGAUACUCAGGGCGUAUCAGCUGUAGGCUGGCAACAUUUGGCUUAAGAGUCCUCUGAUUCUCUUAACGUUUCUUUUUGUUGUCCAUACUGGAAUCCAUAUCCCGAUCAAGAUCGAGAUCAGAUUCUCCUGUUUCACCCGUGAGGUCUGAUUGAAAAGGAGAGCUGGUGACUGGGAAUAGAGGACCGCCGUAUCCAAAUGACUCAUGCUUCUCAGGGUCCAGCCAUAGUAUAAUAAUCUGAUUUGGAUUUGAGCUAUAUCUCGAAUGAACGAUUAAUAAUAUGCUCUUCUAUGUAAAAACUUUUUAGUUUGUCUGUUAUUGGGACUUUUUGAAAUGAACCGAACCUUGUGGUUGCUUGAAAAACGUUUGUAUUGUUUUAUAUAUGGUUUGAUAAUCAUUAAGACUAA